rnacentral:misc_RNA from 1 species
GAUGAAGAACGUAGCGAAAUGCGAUAAGUAAUGUGAAUUGCAGAAUUCAGUGAAUCAUCGAAUCUUUGAACGCACCUUGCGCCCUUUGGCCAUUCCGAAGGGCAUGCCUGUUUGAGUAUCAUGAACACCUCAACUCUCAUGGCUUGCCAUGAUGAGCUUGGACUUUGGGGGUCUUGCUGGCCUGUGGUCAGCUCCUCUCAAAUGAAUUAGCUUUCCAGUGUUUGGUUGGCAUCACAGGUGUGAUAACUAUCUACGCUUGUGGUUUCCACCAGGUAACCUUCAGUAACAUGGGGGUUUGCUGGAGCUCAUAAAUGUCUCUCCUCAGUGGGGACAGCUCUUUGAACGUUUGAUCUCAAAUCAGGUAGGACUACCCGCUGAACUUAAGCAUAUCAAUAAGCGGAGGA